AUUAAUUCUGGCAACCCCCUUCCGCCUUUCCCUUUGCGCGAAAUAAAAACCUCGCUGAAGUUCCGUAAGUUGGACUGUGACACCAGCAAUGGAUGGUUUUACUUGGGAGGUAGUAAAUGUUACAAAGUAUUCGCGGGGAAUAACCGAAGAGCCUAUGCCAGGGCAAAAGAUAUAUGUGUGAGCUAUGGAUCUCGACUAGCAACAAUCAAAGACCAGUUUGAAUCUGACAGUCUCGGUAGUAAAGUCAGUCAGCUUGUUCCAGAGAGUGAAAGGCCAUUUUAUAUUGGUCUCAAAAGAGAGCUAAGGGACACCUGUGUGGCCUGCAAAGAGCUCAGAUGGAGUGACGGAUCAGCAGCCUCGGAGUUGCAGGGUUUCUGGGGAGACAACCAGCCCAACGAGGACCUGGGUGACUGCGUGCACGUGUACAAGAAUGAGGAGACCUACGUCUUUGAUCGACCCUACACCUU